UACAGAGGGUGCGAGCGUUAAUCGGAAUUACUGGGCGUAAAGCGUGCGUAGACGGUUGUUUAAGUCGGGUGUGAAAGCCCCGGGCUCAACCUGGGAAUUGCAUUCGAGACUGAAUAGCUAGGGUACGGUAGAGGGAAGUGGAAUUUCCGGUGUAGCGGUGAAAUGCGUAGAUAUCGGAAGGAACAUCAGUGGCGAAAGCGACUUCCUGGACCAGUACCGACGUUCAGGCACGAAAGCGUGGGGAGCAAACAGG
rnacentral:rRNA from 1 species